rnacentral:lncRNA from 1 species
GAGUGUGUUGGCGGCUCGGACCGAGGCGAACUUGCAGGCCAGUGGCUCGGUGGGGAGCGGCCGAGGUAGAGCUACAGCCCGGCAGCUCGGACACGACCGAGGCGAGGUGAGCCACGGCAGGUGCGCGACGGCGCAGCUUGAUGAGGGAUGACCCGGCGGUGCGGCGGGGGGCCCAAGCGAGGUGAUAGCCGGAGCACCGACGACGCUCGCAAGGUGCGAGCCACCUGGCGGUGCGGCCCUGCGUCUUAGCAAGGACGGACGCGGCGCAGCUGACCGGGGACCGCGGCGCAGUGGUAGCAUGAACAAAGCCAGGCGAGCCGGAGCGGUGCAGCGACCCAGGGUCGGCUCGUGCUGGGCGCGUGGAGGUGGAGACGGUCUGGAGGGGAGGG